AACAGAGACAACCAGCGAGAAUCCUCAUUAUUAUACUUUACAAUGUUAAUAUCAGGGCGAUACGUUCAGAGGUUAUAAACGAAACGCAACAACUAACGUUACCGAUUCGUUUGCUCUACAGCGCGUGCAAGUAAUUUAACAAGAGAUUCGCUUUAUGCGGAAAGUUACUUACAGGCGAGUCGCGUCACACUCGAAUCCAGCGUUUAUCAGACCGUGUGUCGGUUUUAUUUGCAGAUUAGCUGAAAAACAUGUUGUUAAACUUAACAGCUGUCUUCUGCAGGAUCGGCGCGUGUUGUUGUUGUGACUGUCAUCAAGCGUCAUGUUGUCAAGCAGCCGGAGGUGUCAGACUGAAGGUGAAACCCGCUUGUGCCGCCUAGUGGAGCGGAGGCAAAGCUGCACUUUAGAAUCGAGCAGCAUUUAGUAAAGCUGGACUGAAUCGUCCUCUGCGUCACUGAUGAGGAGGAUGUGAGUCUGUCUGGAGCUCUGGAUGAUCAUGAGGCUAUAGAUGGAGGAGUGAGACUCUGGCUUCUUCACACCUACAAAAUCAAACAUCACAACAUUUAAUAUACAGAUUAAACCAAAGUAAAAUUGGCUGGUGGAAAUAAUUCUCAGAUGGUUCGGAGAGCAUCCCCUCAUACAUAGAAGAUGUGGUUUGGAGAAUGGAUGGAUGGAUGGAUGGAUAACAGGCACAUGCAUAAGACCAGAAUCACCAGAUCAAUGUGUUAAUGUGUGUGUUAAUCUCCAUUAAUUCAUGGACAAUAAUUGAAACUGCAUUAAUUCGUUAAAAAGCAGGAGAAUGGGAAAAACUCAUAAAGGGAUAUCAUCCACUUUCCUGAUUUUAGCCCCAACCCUGAUUAAAAACAGUUGAAGCAGCAAAUCAAGGUCUUCAGGAUUAAUAAAAACUUUCAGGCUGAUGUGUUGGACUAGUGUCCAGUAACAAUAUAAAAGUUUAUUUGAAUCAACAUAUUGCUAUUUACAAGUUGUGUAUCUGUGAAACAGCAUUAUCAGUUUCAGUUUGAAAUUUGUUACGACCUCAGGCUCCAAAAGGCUGCAACAAAGAAAGGGACACAUGCAGAUAUCCAAAAUAACUCAAGAUUUAUUAGCAAAACAGAAAAUGAAACAAACGAGUGCUACUGGUAACGUCAGUAGAAUCAGUAAUGUAGAGGAAGGUGUAUGAAUGAUGUACUGUAGCCCAUGUGCAAAUGUAACAAAGGAAAAGAGUAAGAACAACAAAAUGAACCAAAAGAUGGAGCCACCUCAUGUUAGUAGAAUGUCUCCUUUUAAAUGACGGGACGAUAGGGAAGCCAGGGGUAGGUGAUGAAACCACUUAGGGAAUCAACCCUCUUCCAAAUACGGGGGGAGGGGGAGUUUGGGC
ensembl:lncRNA